AUAUAGCCUUUUAUAUACAACUUUGUUUGGCUUAAGUCAGGGUUGACAUAUUUAUUUGCUUUUAGAAAAAGAAAAUGAUUAUCAUGGUUCAACAAUCUUAUGGUGGAAUUUUUUUUAUUUCUUUUGCUAAUGCACUAAAAAUGUUCUGAUAUUUAUUUAAUGUGUAAAUAAAUUAUUGACCACUCUGCUGUAUCGCUCUGAGUUGUUGGUUACCUACCGCCAUCACCUGCGACUCCUUGAACGCUUUCACCAACUACCCACAAUCCUCAACAUCGAAGUUCUCGAACAGGCAGAGACCAUCAGAACCGAGGCAAUGCUUUUAAAGUUGCAGCUGCGCUGGGCAGGUCAGGUCUCCAGGAUGGAAGAGCAUUGCCUACAUAAGAUAGUGCUGUAUGGUGAAUUCGCCACUGGUUACCGCAACAGAGGAGCACCAAAAAAGGACUCUCUGAAGAAAUCACUUCAUGCCCAUAACAUUGACCAUUGUCACUGGUCUACUCUUAUGCUCUAACCUCCGAACGGGAGGCUAAGAGACACACCAUUCAUCAGAAUGUCGCCUCCUUUGAGAACACACCCAGGGCAGAUUUUGAGAAUACAAUGAAACAGAG